UCGCAUCUCUUAACAUCACGCAAUCAAUCAACGGUUGAAUCCUCUAGACCCCUAGUUCCAGUUUACAGUGAAUGAACUAACUAACAAUCAAGACUCAAUUCAAACAGACGGAUCAUGAUUCGAAAUCUAAACUACGAUAGAGAGAAUUCUACACUGGUACGAGAUUUACGAAAUAGACCCUCACCUUUGCCAGGGGUUCUGAAGAAACCUGAGGAAACGCCGAAUGCACCUUGACGGCUCUAACAAAGCAACUCCGGAACUCUCUGAAAUUAGAUCAAUAAGCUAUUCUGGCAGAACUCAACCAUAGAGCAAACAGAUGAAUAACUCAAGAACUGACCGUUAACUUUUCGAUCCCUCCGGUCAUAAUAUAGUCCUAUAUGUCCUCUAUCCAUAGACACUAAGUUUACUCUGAUCUAACACCAUUUGCUUAACCAAAGUAGCUUCAUUUCCAGGCUGGUCGUAAACGCAAACUGCACCAACACCUC
rnacentral:lncRNA from 1 species